rnacentral:tRNA from 1 species
GCGGGAGUGGCGAAAUUGGUAGACGCACCAGAUUUAGGUUCUGGCGCUGUAAAGUAUGCGAGUUCAAAUCUCGCCUCCCGCAC